GUACGUACAAGCAGUAGGAGCACCUUCGUGGUGUGACUGCGUACCUUUUGUAUAAUGGGUCAGCGACUUAUAUUCAGUGGCAAGGUUAACCGUAUAGGGGAGCCGUAGCGAAAGCGAGUCUUAACUGGGCGCUCAGUCUCUGGAUAUAGACCCGAAACCGGGUGAUCUAGCCAUGGGCAGGUUGAAGGUUGAGUAACAUCAACUGGAGGACCGAACCGACUAAUGUUGAAAAAUUAGCGGAUGACUUGUGGCUAGGGGUGAAAGGCCAAUCAAACUCGGAGAUAGCUGGUUCUCCCCGAAAGCUAU
rnacentral:rRNA from 1 species